rnacentral:rRNA from 1 species
GAGGCAGCAGUGGGGAAUUUUGGACAAUGGGGGCAACCCUGAUCCAGCCAUGCCGCGUGUAUGAAGAACGCCUUCGGGUUGUAAAGUACUUUUGUCGGGGAAGAAAAGGUUAGUGUUAAUACCACUGACUGAUGACGGUACCCGAAGAAUAAGCACCGGCUAACUACGUGCCAGCAGCCGCGGUAAUACGUAGGGUGCAAGCGUUAAUCGGAAUUACUGGGCGUAAAGCGGGCGCAGACGGUUACAUAAGUCAGGUGUGAAAUCCCCGAGCUCAACUUGGGAAUGGCGCUUGAAACUGUGUAGCUAGAGUGUGUCAGAGGGAGGUAGAAUUCCGCGUGUAGCAGUGAAAUGCGUAGAGAUGCGGAGGAAUACCGAUGGCGAAGGCAGCCUCCUGGGAUAACACUGACGUUCAUGCCCGAAAGCGUGGGUAGCAAACAGGAUUAGAUACCCUGGUAGUCCACGCCCUAAACGAUGACAAUUAGCUGUUGGUGUGCUUGCCACAUUAGUAGCGAAGCUAACGCGUGAAAUUGUCCGCCUGGGGAGUACGGUCGCCAAGAUUAAAACUCCAAAGAAUUGACGG